rnacentral:rRNA from 1 species
GAUGAACGCUGGCGGCGUGCCUAAUACAUGCAAGUAGAACGCUGAAGCUUGAUGCUUGCACCGAGCGGAGGAGUUGCGAACGGGUGAGUAACGCGUAGGUAACCUGCCUCUUAGCGGGGGAUAACUAUUGGAAACGAUAGCUAAUACCGCAUAAAAGUCGACAUUGCAUGAUGUUGACUUGAAAGGUGCAACUGCAUCACUAAGAGAUGGACCUGCGUUGUAUUAGCUAGUUGGUGAGGUAACGGCUCACCAAGGCGACGAUACAUAGCCGACCUGAGAGGGUGAUCGGCCACACUGGGACUGAGACACGGCCCAGACUCCUACGGGAGGCAGCAGUAGGGAAUCUUCGGCAAUGGACGGAAGUCUGACCGAGCAACGCCGCGUGAGUGAAGAAGGUUUUCGGAUCGUAAAGCUCUGUUGUAAGAGAAGAACGAGUGUGAGAGUGGAAAGUUCACACUGUGACGGUAACUUACCAGAAAGGGACGGCUAACUACGUGCCAGCAGCCGCGGUAAUACGUAGGUCCCGAGCGUUAUCCGGAUUUAUUGGGCGUAAAGCGAGCGCAGGCGGUUAGAUAAGUCUGAAGUUAAAGGCUGUGGCUUAACCAUAGUACGCUUUGGAAACUGUUUAACUUGAGUGCAGAAGGGGAGAGUGGAAUUCCAUGUGUAGCGGUGAAAUGCGUAGAUAUAUGGAGGAACACCGGUGGCGAAAGCGGCUCUCUGGUCUGUAACUGACGCUGAGGCUCGAAAGCGUGGGGAGCAAACAGG